rnacentral:rRNA from 1 species
UUAAAUGUAUUAGCUGGAUCUGUCUUUGAGACUUGGUUUGACUUGGCGUAAUAAGUAUUUCGCUAAGGACAUUCUUCGGAGUGGCCUCGUUUCUAGGACGCUUGUCCGCUUCCCAAUACAAGUUCCACCUCGUGGACAUGACUUUUUUAUUAUCUGGCCUCAAAUCAGGUAGGACUACCCGCUGAACUUAAGCAUAUCAAUAAGCGGAGGAAAAGAAACUAACAAGGAUUCCCCUAGUAACGGCGAGUGAAGCGGGAAAAGCUCAAAUUUGAAAUCUGGCAGCCUCAGGUUGCCCGAGUUGUAAUCUAUAGAAACGUUUUCCGCGUUGGCCCAUGUACAAGUCUCCUGGAAUGGAGCGUCAUAGAGGGUGAGAAUCCCGUCCUUGACAUGGACUACCAGUGCUUUGUGAUACGUUUUCAAAGAGUCGAGUUGUUUGGGAAUGCAGCUCAAAAUGGGUGGUAAAUUCCAUCUAAAGCUAAAUAUUGGCGAGAGACCGAUAGCGAACAAGUACCGUGAGGGAAAGAUGAAAAGCACUUUGGAAAGAGAGUUAAACAGUAUGUGAAAUUGUUGAAAGGGAAACGAUUGAAGUCAGUCAUGUCUAUUGGACUCAGCCGGUUCUGCCGGUGUACUUCCUUUAGAUGGGGUCAACAUCAGUUUUGAUCGCUGGAAAAGGGCAGGAGGAAUGUAGCACUCUCGGGUGAACUUAUAGCCUUCUGUCGUAUACAGUGGUUGGGACUGAGGAACGCAGCAUGCCUUUAUGGCCGGGGUUCGCCCACGUACAUGC